rnacentral:lncRNA from 1 species
CAAUUUCAACUCACUUUGGUUCAUCAGGUUUUAGUUGCUGCUGUAAUCAUUUGACAUUAUAUACAUGACCACCCUGAACAGACUGGUCACUAAGGAUCACUGGGUUAAAGCAAUGUUUUGUGCCAUGUUUUGAGGAAGCUGUGUUAAUUUUAUUGUUCAUAGUUGUGCUCCUGUUGCUAUAUUUUGAUCUAAAAUUUAUCUUUUUUCUUUUUUUUUCAGAUCAAAACCAGAGAUACUGUAUGUAAUGACUGGCCAAAUUUGCCUCUUCACUAUAAAUAACCACUGUAGGAAAAUUAAGACAAGAUUCCAAAAAACUCAACAGAGGAGCAAAUUGCCCGAGCUUCAAAAUACACAAAUUCAGAUGUGAGUGCAAUGACUCAGUCAUGAAAAAUCUCUUAUCAUCUGCUCCAGUGGAGAGAUGCAAGGGACAAAAAAAAGCUGCAAGGUAAGCACCAGGGAUAAAGGUGCCAGUAAAAGCCAAAAGAGCUUCAUACAA